rnacentral:rRNA from 1 species
CCGAUAUCAGAUUAGGUAGCUGGUGAGGUAAAGGCUCACCAAGCCGACGAUCUGUAGCUGGUCUGAGAGGACGACCAGCCACACUGGGACUGAGACACGGCCCAGACUCCUACGGGAGGCAGCAGUGGGGAAUUUUGGACAAUGGGCGCAAGCCUGAUCCAGCAAUGCCGCGUGCAGGAUGAAGGCCUUCGGGUUGUAAACUGCUUUUGUACGGAACGAAACGGUGAGCUCUAAUACAGUUUGCUAAUGACGGUACCGUAAGAAUAAGCACCGGCUAACUACGUG